CAGUAUUUGAUUCAGUAAGCAGCUUAUCCUUAUCAUAUCCUCACUGCCAGUCAUUCUCCUUAUUGCAUAGUCAUAUCCAAGGACAUUAUGGGAAGCACCUAUUCAGCUGUACAGAGAGUAGUCCAUGCAGGCAGGACACAGUUUUACAGCAGAUACGUCCCACAGCCCAGUGUUAACCACCAGAUGAGGCUGAUAAAAAUCCAAAGUACAGCUCUGACACGGGACACCCACCCAAAUCAUCAGGGGUGUGGUGGCCCAAUGAAGCUGACUGUAGACGAAAGUCGGCCAGUGAAGUCGGGGGAGGUGCGUCUGCGACAGCUGAAAGUCGGACACUGUAGUGGUUUUCCAACCGCAAGGCUGAGAUCAACAUGGCAGUGUCAACAUAGCUGCUAUUGUUAAAAGUUUUUCUGUAUGAACGUCAAAAUAAACUUUUCUAUACCCUUAUAUCCC
rnacentral:lncRNA from 1 species